UCCAGUUGUAGGCAACUGCCUAGGUUGACUUAUACCUAGGCAAGUGUUAUAUUGCUGGGAGAAAAGCAGCCAACAGCUGGUGGGCAUCCUUGGCUGGUUAAUGCCAAAUGUGUGUUAACUAU
ensembl:snoRNA SNORA74 Small nucleolar RNA SNORA74